rnacentral:lncRNA from 1 species
GCUUCCGGGACUUCCAAGGCUGCAGCCCAAUUCGGUCCCCCGGCGGAAGAGCGUGGUUCGGACCCUUUCUUGCCGGAACCUUUCUGCUCAGGGCUCAGGGCUCUGAGGGGGAAGGUUUUCCUACGGGAUUUUUCUCGCACGCGGCCCUUAUUUCCCACACUGCCCCGCGCUUCUUCCUUCUUUUUCUCUCUCGCUUUGGCCUCUUCCGGUCGGUGGAGUGCCUGUUAGCGCAGGCUGCGGUGUAAAGAUGGCUAAGUCUAAGAACCAUACCACCCAUAACCAAUCACGAAAAUGGCACAGAAAUGGCAUCAAGAAACCUAGGUCACAGAGAUACGAGUCUCUGAAAGGGGUUGACCCCAAGUUUCUGAGAAACAUGCGCUUUGCCAAGAAACACAACAAGAAGGGGCUGAAGAAGAUGCAGGCCAACAACGCCAAAGCCNNNNNNNNNNGAACUCGGGUCCUCCUGACUUCAGGGCU